rnacentral:rRNA from 1 species
AUGAUCAUGGAUUCAUGUAGCAACCUAGACAUCCUAAUGUCAUGCAAAGCGGAGCCUGAUGUGGAGGCUGCAGGAGCGAGGCGUGGAACUGAGACGAGUCCCAUGCCAACCGGGCGCAUGGCGACCAUACGCGUAGCGAUCUCCCGGGUCCGUCCGCAACUAUUCACGCCGCACGGCGUGCUGAUCGGCCUUUACAACCACCGUAAAGGUCUUUCCCAAUGGACGGACGUGAAGGAGAAAGCCGUCGUCGACCUGUUUCACGGUGAAGUGGAUGAGGUGAUGCGGGAGCUGGAAAAUGUAGAGGGUGAAGCAAGGAGGUGCUAUGCCCAUCUGCCCGACCCCAUUUUGUGUUCGGAGCAGUCCUCAUUCUCACAUAUGCUGCUGCAUGAUGGCUGCUAUCUGCUAUCUCUGUUUGUAAAAUAUGAGACAAACGCGCCUCAAUAUCCCGAGACGGCAGCUGGUGGAGUCUCCGAUGGCGCGGUGGUGCGCGACACCGUGUUUCUUCUUGAGAAUCAAAUACCUCUCUUGGUGCUUGACAAGAUCCACCAGCUCGUCACAGGAGACACCGAUAGUUGCGUCCUCGAAAGCAUAUCUGUUGCUGUCCAGGGGCUUCUGCAGGCACAACUCUACAUCAGCAAGAAGCCUCAGCCGGCGCCGCAGCAGUCGUCCCACUUGCUGCACCUGGUGCAUCACUACUUUCAGCCAACCAAUCCGCCUCCGGAAAGGGCAGGGAACACGGCACGGCGCACAGGCCGAUGGCGCCGGGCGACGGAGUACCGCUGCCACGGCAACGUACGUUUCAAGCCCGAAGACUUGGUGGAAGGCAAGGAGUCCACCAUCCUGGACGUGAGCUAUCAAGUAGGUACGCUGUGGAUCCCUCGCCUGCAGGUCAACAGCAAUACAUGGACAAUCCUACGUAACCUGAUGGCCCUGGAGGAGCAGAUGACACGGCGGCCCGUGACGGCCUACUGCGUCUUCCUGUCGCAGGUGGCGGGCACGGUGGAGGAUGUGAAGCUCUUAGUUCGUGCCGGGAUCGUCCAACAAUUCUUGUCAAGUGAGAAGCAGGUCGCCCAAGACUUGGCCAACCUCUUAACCGGGGUGGUCUUGGACGUGGACAACCUCGACCAGAACUACCUCAAGCCCAUAUGGCACGACCUGGACAUGCGCUGCAACAAAUGGGUGAACAGAUUCAUGGGAACGUGCCGCGAACAGCACUGCCGCAACGGGUUGUACACCAUAGCAUUCGUUAUCACCGCCAUCCUCUUUGCCUGUGGAUUGCUGCAAGCGGUCUUUGCAGUCCUAAGCUACAAAUACAAGAAAUAG